rnacentral:tRNA from 1 species
UCAGUUGGUAGAGCAGCUGACUCUUAAUCAGCGGGUCCGGGGUUCGAAACCCUGACGGCGCACUCACAGCAGA